GCUUGGGAAUCCAAACGCUGGCCCAACUGGACCCACCGUGCGGAGGUCGUUUGAAUUCCAAAGAUGCUGGCUAUAUCACCUCUCCCGGUUACCCCCAGGACUACCCCUCCCACCAGAACUGCGAGUGGAUUGUUUACGCCCCCGAACCCAACCAGAAGAUUGUCCUCAACUUCAACCCUCACUUUGAAAUCGAGAAGCACGACUGCAAGUAAGCACCGUCC
rnacentral:sRNA from 1 species